GUUGUGGUUCAGUGGUAGAGCACUUGCCUUGCUUGCUCGAGGCACUGGGUUUGAUCCCCAGCACAACA
rnacentral:tRNA from 1 species